GGCUGUUGAGGACUUGAUAGAAAAAAAAGUUUGGCAAGGCCUGGGGGAGGGGCUACUUUAUUGAUGUACUUGGACUUUAAGGAAAGGCCCUUUGGAUUGUCACGAUGUUGCCUCAAUGCGAAGACUGACUGACUAAGUAAGAACCAGUCCUGCUGGAAGCCGCCUUCUUGUUCUUGUAGCUGAUGGCCGUGCUGCCGGCGAUGGACGGCUUCCAAAAAAAGACAAUGGAAAGGAAACACGUUCAGUUGCUGAGAGAGAGUGAAGAAAUAAUGUCCCAGAGACACAAUCCCUUUCCUCCUGGACCUGACGUAUUCGGGAGACACUUCGCUGGGUCCUUGACUCAAAACAUCUGUGGUCACCAACGAUGCAGGGAAAACAAUCACAGGGGAAUAAACAACAGGAGUUCAAAAGGGUAGGGAGGAAGCGCAGAGGACAGGGUCAUUCAGGCGUUGCAAACCUGCUGCUGUCUCUAGAAAGGUCUCUUGAUAUUUCACCUGGCGAUUUACGGUCCAUCUGGCUUCAGCCACUUCAGUGCUGCGGGAACACGUGACCAUGGUUGGCCCCACUGCCACGGAUUCAAUUGUGUCUAUACCUCACCAAACCCUGAAAUAAAUCACCAGCUUGCUCCUCCUGGCUAUCACAAAGCCAAACACGCCAUCUGUCCAACACACACAUCUCCUGGCUAGCAUCUUGCCCUCCGACUAGAGCAACCAUCUGAAAGAAUAUUCAGUGCUGCAGGAGAUACAGACUCUUAGUAUAGGUCAUACCUAAAACAUGAGUCAGCCCCUCAGCUGGCCUCCCAAGGUCAGUCUAUCUCUGCUAAGGUCCUCAAAUUAACAACCGGUUAAAGGAAACAUGACUUGGGAUGAACUCAGCAGGAUGUUUUCAAGCUUUACAAGAGAACAUUCUGUGGUUAAGUAAGGCUUCAGGCCUGCCCUGCGCUGGAGUCUACCUGAGUUGUUCUUUGGUACGUCAGUUUUCAGGAAAAGUUCGACUAUUGGGACAGUCUUCUUGUCGUCUUUGCAUCUUUGUUAGCAAUCCAAACACUGCUGGGGAAUUCAACCAGGAAAAAGAGGGAGCAGAACCCAGGAUUGGUCAGUGAUGGAGUCCCCACCUCACCUGUGACCCGACAGCCGAAGAGCUCCAGGCGGAGCGCAAUGCCUGAGUGCCAGGUCUGUGGACGGAUCCGGAUGAACCUCGUUAACAGCGGCAUGUGGAGUUUGUUCAGAACGACCUCGGUGGCAUCAUUGUUGGCUUGGAAUACCUGCAACAGAAGACAUGAAAAGUUCUUUGCUGAAGGAGCAUCAUCCCCACUGCCUCAACAGUACUGGGGUUUGAACCCAGGGCCUCAUGCAUGCUCGGCAGGCACUCUACCACUAAGCUAUAUCCUCAGCACCUAUCAUCUUCCUUAAAAUUUGUACACAUCUCUCACUCUGAGUGUGGUAAAGAGGACAAAAUAAAAUAAGACCCACUGCUGAAUCAAGAGAAGGAGCCAAAUUCUGUUACUAAUUAGCUCAGAAGAAUCACCCUUCCUAUGUUUUCUGAUCAAAUUCCCUGAGAUGGAUUCUUGGCUUCCAGUCUAGGCACUGCAAGGUAAGGGGUUGUGUGCAUGGGAAAUGAUGCCAGGAAAUUGGUUUUAUUUCCUAUUCUCUGCCGACUCACUGAAUCACUACAGGAAAAUCAAUAAACCUUUGAUACCUUGGUUUCUCUUGCAGGAAAAUGUUGAUAAUAGGCCCACAGAUGAACACUAGAGUUUACCAUCACUUUCAGCUGGCUUGAAUGCCUGCACAACACCCAACAAAUGGGUUCUUGGCCAACUGGAAGAGUUCAGGUUCUGAAAGCCAUUGAUUCCCAAGUCCCAUCUUGAGGCUCCAAAUUUUUAGGUCAUCACUUUGCAGUGACAUGUUCAGAAUGCUGAGAAAAAUCAGUGGAUCUAUAUAUAUUAUACCCAGAGCAUCCAUAUAUAUAUAUAUUAUCUCUAGACAGGCAUAUAUCAAAAACAAUGAUCAAAUUUAAACAUCUGUUUUAAAAGCUGGAAGUCAGAGAGUAUACAUAUUUCUAUUCAUUUUAAAGAAAAAUACUACUCUGGUUGUUGGACAAUCAGGAGUAUGUUCAAGGUGACCCUAGGGAUAGGAUUCUGGGGAUAGGAUUAAUUAUGUUGUAAUUAUUUAAUAUGCAUAAGGGUAUAUUUGCUAAAAAGAAGAAGUUAUGUUGGGCAUAAAGAUUUCUUUAAGUGCAUCUCUGCAAACCAAGUUGAAAAAACAAUUCAGGGCACAAAGUGGUCUGGAUAAUCCACUUGGUGCCUCACUGAAUUCUGAACAUAAUCCAACAUUUUCCAAUUGAUUCUUGAGACCUUUGUUUUAUUUUCGGUAAGACAGAAUCUGAAAACCAGCAGCAUUUCAUGGAUUUUCUGAUUUGCACCUCUGGGGAAGGGGGUAUCUGCCAAGUAAAUCGGCUGCUCUCCAACACCCUAGUUGGGUUGUUAUCUACACCCCCUAGGAAAGAUAAUCAGCAUGUGCUGACUAGGCCCAUGCAUCCACGAGCCAGGAACUACAUGGACUAUUUGAAACAGUGUAAAAUAAAAACUUUUUUUUCUUAUAUAUAUAAUAAGAAACAUCUAGCUAGAAAGCACCACUGAUGUUUUUUAAGGUCAUCUUUUCCCUGUUUCUCACCCACUUUUAGUCAUAGCGAACCCUCUUCUGCUGACCCCUUCCUUAAAUCUUGUGUGAACAGCACACACAGACUUUGGCCCCACUGAGAACAGUGCACACUGUGUCCUGCUGCCUCCUGAGGUUCUAGGCAGGGGGCUUUUCUGCCUCACCUAAUUCCCUUUCCUAUAUACUGUUCAUCUUUGCUAUUAGCAUCCAAGUACCCUGCAAAGUAAAGAUGCUACAUGUCAUCAAUCUUGCCUCAGAGGCCAAUGAGAAGAUUCUGGCAAAUUCUCUGAGCUCCUUGGAGCAGAGGCCCCAUGAAGACUCCGGCAUUAACCUGCCUAUUUAACCUUCCUAAGUGAAGUGGCGCCUUCAGUGGACAGAUGCAGUCCCUCCUUACGUCUCCUGCAUCCAAUCUGAGUUGGGCUUUGGAAUUCCAUGUGCACAUGCCUUGUCCCUUCACUACUACUAUGGUGUUAUCUACUGUUCACCUCAAUCUUGCUGUAAAUAUCUGAAUUCCUCCAGCCCCAGGGACUGCAAAGAAAGCAGGAAAAUUUUUCAAAGACAACACAGUGCAGGAGCCCUGAGGUAGAAAUUGUGCAUGAGAUGUUCUUCUGCUUUUUAAAAAAAUAAAUAUUUCUCUCCACUAAUAAAUGUUUCAUUACAUCCAAAGUUCUCCUUUUCAAUCUACUUGGCACAGACAUUCAAGGAGGAGGAGAACAAAGCAGGCAGAAAAGAAGGGUGGCGGGAACGGUGGGCAGAGACUGGGGAAACCACUGUCAUGUUCUGAACAUGAGUCUCAGAAACAAUUGCACCAACUCAUCCCGAUGCCAAGACCCAGAGCCUGUCCUCCCCUCCCCCACCCGCCCUCAAAUUUCCUCUAAAACCAGCCAUGGGUCUACACAUAAAAAUAAAUUGUUAAUCAAUGGAUGCCAUCCUAUUUAAUUAAUUUGUUGCACCUAACCGGCAAGGUGGGAGUAGGGGGCCAUUGCACUGGGGAAAAAUGAUGUUAAGGUAAUGGGCUCUCCCACUCCUCCCUGUUUGUAAAUCAUGGUCUUGACAUUUCUCUCUGAAAACUCCCCCUUUAAGACUAUAGAAUUUUUUUUUUAAAGCUGCCUUCAUUCUAGUGGAUAUGGGAAUUCAGCCAGACACAGAAUCAGAAGGGGUGUGUGUCUG